rnacentral:rRNA from 1 species
UGGGGUCUCGCAAGGGGCCCUGGUGUAUUCCUAGGUCUGACCAAACCUUGUAAGCGUACACUGCAACCAGUUAGACGAUCAGCAGUGGGCACAGUGGUUGUGGGCGGCCAGCAAUGGUCAUCCGCUUCUACGAAGCAAUUGUUUGCGUCGGUUAGUAGUAGCGCGGUUGUGCCUCGGCGCUUCUCGUGUUGCUGGGCCGGCGUGAGUGAACUACAGCUGAAUACUGACUGGCGAAAUGAAAACCGCUCGAAAGAGCGUUAGAGACAAAGCCGCUCGCCGGAUGUGGGCCUACACGGUCGACUGUUAGGUCUAAGCUUGGCGUUUUUGAAUUCAGACUUGCUUGCUACCAGUGGGGCAACUCCUGGUGCUUGUAUAGCUUCUGUCUAAUCGGGCGUCGACUUGGCUUGGCAUCGUUUGGCCGUGCUUCGAUAGGGUCCGCAUGUGAGUGGGCGCGCAAUGUUAAU